GCGAUACAGGGUGACAGCCCCGUACACAAAAAUGCACAUGCUGUGAGCUCGAUGAGUAGGGCGGGACACGUGGUAUCCUGUCUGAAUAUGGGGGGACCAUCCUCCAAGGCUAAAUACUCCUGACUGACCGAUAGUGAACCAGUACCGUGAGGGAAAGGCGAAAAGAACCCCGGCGAGGGGAGUGAAAAAGAACCUGAAACCGUGUACGUACAAGCAGUGGGAGCACGCUUAGGCGUGUGACUGCGUACCUUUUGUAUAAUGGGUCAGCGACUUAUAUUCUGUAGCAAGGUUAACCGAAUAGGGGAGCCGAAGGGAAACCGAGUCUUAACUGGGCGUUAAGUUGCAGGGUAUAGACCCGAAACCCGGUGAUCUAGCCAUGGGCAGGUUGAAGGUUGGGUAACACUAACUGGAGGACCGAACCGACUAAUGUUGAAAAAUUAGCGGAUGACUUGUGGCUGGGGGUGAAAGGCCAAUCAAACCGGGAGAUAGCUGGUUCUCCCCGAAAGCUAUUUAGGUAGCGCCUCGUGAAUUCAUCUCCGGGGGUAGAGCACUGUUUCGGCAAGGGGGUCAUCCCGACUUACCAACCCGAUGCAAACUGCGAAUACCGGAGAAUGUUAUCACGGGAGACACACGGCGGGUGCUAACGUCCGUCGUGAAGAGGGAAACAACCCAGACCGCCAGCUAAGGUCCCAAAGUCAUGGUUAAGUGGGAAACGAUGUGGGAAGGCCCAGACAGCCAGGAUGUUGGCUUAGAAGCAGCCAUCAUUUAAAGAAAGCGUAAUAGCUCACUGGUCGAGUCGGCCUGCGCGGAAGAUGUAACGGGGCUAAACCAUGCACCGAAGCUGCGGCAGCGACGCUGAUGCGUUGUUGGGUAGGGGAGCGUUCUGUAAGCCUG
rnacentral:rRNA from 1 species